rnacentral:lncRNA from 1 species
GAACGCCAAUCACAUGGAGGUUGAAAAUAGCUGGUGGUGGGUGGACAGCUGAUGGAGAAGAAAUGGCAGGAGUCAAGGCUGGAAGGAGAGAGGUCUUGUGAUCAGGGAAGCCAGGGAAAUGGGGCGUGUGUGCUGAGAAGGAAGUUCCUUAUGGGUGUGUGUUGUGCUGACAGGCUAAUAUUUCAGGUGUGCACUGGCCUCCACAAUGUGAAGCUCCACGGAACCAAGAGUGCUGGUCUCUUGGAGGGUCACGGAUGCUGCCAUCUGACAUUUGCUAGACUCUAGGAGAGUCCUGGGGUCAUGUACAUCUACUCUUGAACGGAGAUGACUUAGAACCGGCUUGCUGGAUGUCAUGUUCGUAUCCACAGCUUUAUAGGGCCUUACAUACGUCCUAUAUCUUUUCAUAUUCAUCCCCUCAUAGGUCAUUACAUAAAUCAACCGACUGAAAAGAGUCUUCUCUCUUCACCAUUCUGUUUGGUUUCUUUUCUUUGGAAAAAAUUCUUUUCUUGGGAAAAUAUGCUGCCUUAGUCUGCUGGGUUCACUUUCAAGAUGUAGAGUGAGGUCCCUAAUCUGAAGGUUGGGAAUUUUUUGGAGAGCAGUCAUACGAGGCAUGGCCACCAGGAAGUAGGCAAGAGAGCCUGCACUGGGUCUAGAGAGAAAGCCCAUUAGGAGCAAGACCCAGUGAGUUCCCAUCGUGGCUUAGCGGUUAACAAAUCCGACUAGGAACCAUGAGGUUGCGGGUUUGAUCCCUGGCCUUGCUAAGUGGGUUAAGGAUCCGGCAUUGCCAUGAGCUGUGGUGUAGGUUGCAGACGCAGCUCGGAUCCCCUGUUGCUGUGGCUCUGGCGUAGGCCAGCGGCCACAGCUCCGAUUCAACCCCUAGCCUGGGAACCUCCAUAUGCUGCAGGAGCGGCCCUAGAAAAGGCAAAAAGGCCAAAAAAAAAAAAAAGGAGAAGGACCCAAGGAGAAAAGGAGGAAGGAGGUAGCCAAGGCUCCCAGGCCCUGGAAAGCAGGGAAUCUCCCAGGCCAUGGACCUUGAAAUUAGUCUUGCUUCUGAAGUCUGGCCCCUGAUGUUACUUGUGCGGCAGAGGUCACUGAGCCUCUGCACACUCUUUAAGUCCUAGUCUGUCCCGUAGUGGGGUCUGCUCUGAACAGAUGGGUGCCCUAGAGCCACACAGGCUGCCUGGCUGCUUUCAGGAUCACCUGCCCCACUGCAGUGCUGUACAGAAGAGGGGCCUGGGUGGACCCUGCUGGACCUGGACCCAAGGUUACUCUUUGCAAACUGCACAUAACCUUCUCUCUCUGGCUUCCCUUUAUCUCUAGAGUCUGUCCAAGUUGCAAUUGCAUGGAGAUCAGUGUUUUCUCCUGAUUAGCAAUCAGCUCAGCUUCUUAUUUUUUGGCAGCACCCGAAGCAUGUGGAAGUUCCCAGGCCCGGGAUCGAACCUGAGCCGAAUUUGUACCCUGUGGCAACACUAGAUCUUUAACCUACUGUGCCUCACGAGAACUUCCAACCCACCUUGAUAAGAGCAUGUUGUCUGUGUGCCCCACUUUGUGCAGCCUUAGGAGAAUCAGGAUGCCUCUCUCAGGCCAAGGGGCAGGCAUGCCAUCCAGCCUGUCCCACCAGCCUCUCUGUUUCCUGGGAACUGGAAUCUUGAGAGGGCUAGAAUAGGGUUACAGCUGCUUUCUUCUAACAGCACUAAAGUAGAUCUGAUGGCUCCUGCUGCCUGGAUUCCUAGAACUGUCCUGCUUCUUGUUCUAAUUGCAGCCUUCUUUGUUUUCUGAGUUACCUUCCAGGGCCUUUAAACAAAUCCUUUUAAAAAAGACAGCCAGGGGAGUUCCCAUUGCUGUGCAGCAGAAACGAAUCCGACUAGAACCAAGAGGUUGCGGGUUUGAUCCCUGGCCUUGCUCAGUGGGUUAAGGAUCCGGCCUUGCCAUGAGCUGUGGUGUAGGUUGCAGACACAGCUUGGAUCCCGCAUUGCUGUGGCUGUGGUGUAGGCCGGCGGCUAUUGCUCUGAUUUGACCCCUAGCCUGGGAAGCUCCAUA